rnacentral:SRP_RNA from 1 species
UGAGACAGGAGGAUCAUUGAGAGUUCAAGACCAGCUUGGGCUACAAUGUGAGCUCAAGGCCAGCCUGAACUGCAUAGCGAGACCCUGUCUCAAAAAGACAAAAAAAAAAAAAAGAGAGACAGGGUCUCGCUAUGCAGUUCAGGCUGGUCUUGAACUCACUUUGUAGCCCAGACUGGCCUCGAACUUGCAAUGAUCCUCCUGCCUCAGCCUCCCUAGUGCUGGGAUUACAGGUGUGCACCACCACACCCGGC